rnacentral:rRNA from 1 species
AUGAACGCUGGCGGCGUGCCUAAUACAUGCAAGUCGAGCGAACAGAUAAGGAGCUUGCUCCUUUGACGUUAGCGGCGGACGGGUGAGUAACACGUGGGUAACCUACCUAUAAGACUGGAAUAACUCCGGGAAACCGGGGCUAAUGCCGGAUAACAUUUAGAACCGCAUGGUUCUAAAGUGAAAGAUGGUUUUGCUAUCACUUAUAGAUGGACCCGCGCCGUAUUAGCUAGUUGGUAAGGUAACGGCUUACCAAGGCAACGAUACGUAGCCGACCUGAGAGGGUGAUCGGCCACACUGGAACUGAGACACGGUCCAGACUCCUACGGGAGGCAGCAGUAGGGAAUCUUCCGCAAAGGGCGAAAGCCUGACGGAGCAACGCCGCGUGAGUGAUGAAGGUCUUCGGAUCGUAAAACUCUGUUAUUAGGGAAGAACAAAUGUGUAAGUAACUGUGCACGUCUUGACGGUACCUAAUCAGAAAGCCACGGCUAACUACGUG